UAAAUUAGACCAAAUAGUAUUCUAAAUUUGAUCUAGUUUGCGUCAACACAUACUUUUCACAGUAGUUUAUUGUGGAAGGUAACAUAUUCGUGCCAUCAUGCUAUUGAAAAUCUUCUGAUUGGGACCAUGAGUAACAAUCAAGGCUUCUCACACCCUAUACAUUGAAGUCCAAAUCCUCUCAUCGACGCAUCAAGGCCACAUAGAAGGUAUU
rnacentral:lncRNA from 1 species